UUCUAUUGGUAACAUCCAAUUUUCGGUUUUCUGAUUUCAUUUAAAAAUUUCUGUAAUAUGGAUGAUAAUCGUUUUCAAAAUUUUCUCAACCAUUUUGAGCAAAAGAGUCCCGAUUUAACAACGAAGGAAGCAAUUACCUGCGGUGGAAUUUUAUGGAAUUGUUUUCAAGAAAGCGAAAAGGAAGAGUUUUCACCGCAUAGUUACCCAAUAUUUAUGGGCGACUCUACUGAAAUACUUCUUCCUAUUGCAAAGCCCAAACCCUUUAGAGGUAAAAGCAAACGCAAACCUACUAAAAGGAGAUGUGGCGCAAAGAAAUGGUGGCCAAAAAAAAGUCAACUGGGCCGACGUGGAGGAACGUUCAAAAAUAAUAAGAAAACAUUUUUCGAUACCUGUUAAUGAACAUUUUGUAAAUCAUCUAUAAAAUACUUGCGGUAUCGAUACUAAUAUAUCCACAAUCUGAAGUGUAUAAGUAAAUUUCUUAUUUACGCUGGUUUAAAUUUGCUUUGAUACGACUAAUUUGAUAUUAAGACUAUGAAGGCAGAUAAAGGACCAAUAAUCUGGACUACAUAUUGGAAAUCGAUGAAGGUGCAACGUAAAUUAUUUCUACGAUUAAGAAAACUAAAUUUAAAAGCGAUUAAAUGUACUUGGAAUUACUAAUAAAGAUUUUUAAAAUUA